rnacentral:rRNA from 1 species
CCUACGUGAGGCAGCAGUGGGGAAUAUUGGACAAUGGGGGGAACCCUGAUCCAGCGACGCCGCGUGAGUGCAGAAGUAUUUCGGUAUGUAAAGCUCUAUCAGCAGGGAAGAAAGAAAUGACGGUACCUGACUACGAAGCCCCGGCUAACUACGUGCCCGCAGCCGCGGUAAUAAGUAGGGGGCAAGCGUUAUCCGGAUUUACUGGGUGUAAAGGGAGCGUAGACGGCGAUGCAAGUCUGAAGUGAAAGGCGGGGGAGCAACCUCCGGACUGCUUUGGAAACUGUAUGGCUGGAGUGCAGGAGAGGUAAGUGGAAUUCCUAGUGUAGCGGUGAAAUGCGUAGAUAUUAGGAGGAACACCAGUGGCGAAGGCGGCUUACUGGACUGUAACUGACGUUGAGGCUCGAAAGCGUGGGGAGCAAACAGGAGUAGAUACCCUAGUAGUC